UACGGAGGGGGCUAGCGUUGUUCGGAAUGACUGGGCGUAAAGCGCGCGUAGGCGGGCUGGAAAGUCAGGGGUGAAAUCCCGGGGCUCAACCCUGGAAUUGCCUUUGAGACUCCCAGCCUUGAGUUCGAGAGAGGUGAGUGGAAUUCCGAGUGUAGAGGUGAAAUUCGUAGAUAUUCGGAGGAACACCAGUGGCGAAGGCGGCUCACUGGCUCGACACUGACGCUGAGGUGCGAAAGCGUGGGGAGCAAACAGGA
rnacentral:rRNA from 1 species